rnacentral:rRNA from 1 species
GAUGAACGCUGGCGGCGUGCCUAAUACAUGCAAGUCGAGCGAACGGACGAGAAGCUUGCUUCUCUGAUGUUAGCGGCGGACGGGUGAGUAACACGUGGAUAACCUACUUAUAAGACUGGGAUAACUUCGGGAAACCGUAGCUAAUACCGGAUAAUAUUUUGAACCGCAUGGUUCAAAAGUGAAAGACGGUCUUGCUGUCACUUAUAGAUGGAUCUGGGCUGCAUUAGCUAGUUGGUAAGGUAACGGCUUACCAAGGCAACGAUGCAUAGCCGAACUGAGAGGGUGAUCGGCCGCACGGGAGCUGAGACGCGGUCCAGACUCCUACGAGAGGCAGCAGUAGGGUAUCUGCCGCAGUGGGCGAAAGCCUGACGGAGCAACGCCGCGUGAGUGGUGAAGGUCUUCGGAUCGUAAUGCUCUGUUAUUAGGUAAGAACAUAUUUGUAAGUAACUGUACACAUCUUGACGGUACCUAAUCAGAAAGCCACGGCUAACUACGUG